rnacentral:misc_RNA from 1 species
ACAGGGCAUCCUAGGCUAAUCCGCUUGGCAGCAUCGAUCUGAGCGGAGUCGGGAUCCUCACGCGUAUUCGGAUCCGAGGCGCUUAUUGCCAGAGCCAAUUGAACCUGAAACUCCUCUUCCAAUAAAUUAAAAUCCACACAAGUCCGGUCCCCCGCUGCCAUCCGAUCCCCUCCGGCAGAUUCAACAGCCGUCUACCAGUUGGAGACGACGAAGAUGAAGACAAAGGGUUUGCCGUGGCGGUGGGGCUUGGGUUGGCUACAGGUCGGGUCUCAGCCAAUCGCUGGUGGUCAUCGAUGGCACCGCCGAUAUGGAGCUUUCUGAGUAGAUGUUUCAUCUUAGACAUGGAUCAUUAAACAAGAAGUGGAAAAAUCUGUUCCCCUUUUGUACUAUCUUGUCUAUUGUUUCUUUCUAUGUAAAGAUUCGGUUAACCUUACGCACCCUUCUUCGUCAAGCCACCACCGCUAGAGAAACUUAAAAUUAACCGCUCACCCAUCC